UGUAACUGAAAUGGGAGCUUAAAAGGUGAUACCUUAGCUGAGAGGAAACAAGAGUUUCGACCAUGGACCUGAUACGGAUAAUGCCGUCGUAGGGAUUUGGAUGCUAUGAAUA
rnacentral:ncRNA from 2 species